CUUAACUUCCGUAUUUACUAUACAAUACAUCAGAUGUUUGAGGCGUGCAUUCGGACUUUCCCUUUUUUCGGUAUUUAUGUUUAUUGCACUUCACAGUGACUCAUUCCAAUAUUUCCAGUUGGGUCUCAAACACCGAAGCUUUCUUGUGUAUCCGUUACUCACUUCAUUUUUAACACAGUUUUGUGAAAAUUUCUGCCAUUCAGAGUCGGGUUGUACUUAUUUACACUAGUUUUUUCAGAUAAGCUGGAAAGACCACCAUUAAUCACUGAAGAUACUCCCACUAAUUAUGAAGAACUUACGGUGAUUGUUUUUGAAAAUGAGGCGCCAUAAAAUAUUGCAAAGAUUUGAAACAAAUACAAAACACAUGUGCGAAACGAAAGAAAUGCUAAAGGAAACGAGUGAAAAAAUCUCUAACAUGAAAACGUCAUCAAAUCUGACAAUUGAAAAAGAAAACAAAAAUAGAAGUUAUGCCGCCAAGACCACACCUAAACAAAUUUUGACGAAUUACAAGAUUAUUUUUGCCUAUUAGAACAAGCAGAUUUCUUUGUAAGUUAAAAAAAUACAAUGAAUUCAUAUAUACAUAUAUAACAUAUAACAUUGGAUAUUAUAUACAGGUAGAUGCCUGUAACACCACGAUACUUUUUGGUAACUUACUAUACAUGGCACAUUUCGCUUCAUUGUAAAAAAUUAUUGACAACGAAAUUUUCCUGAUAGGGUAUGCGUUUUUGUCAAUGCAACCAUUUUACGAUUAUCCGUUAAAUUCAAGUAAAUUUAGCACUUUUAAAACGCAGAAUUUGUCUUCUGCUUUAAGCUGUAAUCCUUUAAAUUUAAUAAUAGCCAAAUGCUUGCUGUUGCCCAUAGACGAAAAAAUUAUUGCAUUUCCAUUAAUCCAUGUACUCUAACGGUUUUUUUUUUCAGUGCAAUAAAUUGAAGCAAACUUAAAAAACUUUGGUUAUUAAUAUGAUUGUUAAAACAGAAUUAAUUCUUAACGGUACUUUUUUGUGUGUUGGGGACAGUCAAGUCGUCGUGAAUUAGAAAGUUUUACAGUGCAUUUUCAAAUCAAGUAACUAUAACAAUGCGAUUCAA